UCCUUAAGCAGCAGCUAAGUUCAAAGCCAAGCUACUGAAUUUAUUUUUAAUCUUAUUCUGAAGUCACCCUUAGCUUGCCCAAACAUGUUCAAUCCUCAUUCAUUAGUGUCAGCUUUUUCAAAUUGUUGGUGAUUAUGACCACAGCACAGCAGUUACAGACAUCUGGAAUAUUGGGUACUCUGGUAGUUAAUGUACAGGCCAUCUAACAAUGACUAUUUAUGCACUAUUCUGACACUUUGGGGUUUAUUCUCUAAACACCAAACUUAAGUGAAUUGAAAUCCAAAUAUCAAAAAUAUGGAGAAUAAUUAGAUACGUGUGUUAAACUGACUUGGACAUCAGGCUCAGAUAAUGAUGUUUUCCUUUGUAGCUUUGACAGAAACUCUCUUGCCACAGCCUUCUGAAGAGGAGUGAAGGCUAUCCUCCUGCCCACAGAUAUGGGCUUGGUCUCAAGAGCCCCUAAAAAUAGGCUGAUGUCACUGCGAGGAUGCCACGGAAGCUUAUUGUGCAUCCCAACCAGAUUUGAGGACCUCUGGGGAUUGCCUGGACCAAUUUUAUACUUUGAGCGCCUGAUCGGUGUUGAAAUAUCAUGGAGCUGUUCCUCGAUUGGGACUGUGUUCAGGUGAUCAAACUUUAAACUUUAUCGCUCGGUCCCCUGACUUAAAAAAUGAGCGCUAUUUGGCAGGGAGGUCAGGGAGGCAAUGAGGCAUCUCAUGAUACCUGGGGUUUUAUGGUGCUUCCCUUGCCAGAGGUCCAGGAACUCCAUUUUGGAAACUAAGCCGCAUGCCUAAUACUCAUUGCAAGAUUGGAGAGUAACCAAGAGUAAUCAAGGUGCUGUUUGGACAUCAAAGACACUCAGUGACAAGGCAUACAUAUUGUGUUUCUGGUACGAUACAAGGAAACAGGAUUUUAGUGGACAUUUUGUGUGCUGUGCCUUUAGCACUGUGAGGGUACAGCAAAGAGGUGAUUGAGUUAGCUGGGGAUUUAGUCCCCAGACCGAGAGGCGCUGGGGAGGGGCAUAUGUGCAGUACAUUGUGUUCUAUGAAAGACCCCCUGCAGAGAAAGUGAAACUGUAC